rnacentral:misc_RNA from 1 species
UUUCUUAUACUGAAACGAAAUGAACAAUAAGAUUUUUCAUUUACCACUUUUAUUAUUUAAUGAAAAUAAGUUAAAAAGUAUUACGUAAAAUUAUAUGCUAUGCGCUGAACACAGGACGUUUAUCGUUAGUCCCACAACUAUGCCUUCUCUUAUUCUCUCAUGGAGCAUCCUCCAGGAACUCUUUGCGACGAACAAUGUCUCUGUUUUCCGCUUCUCCCCCGCCGCGGAAACCAUUUUUAUUCGCUACAGUAUGCGCUUCAUAAUCUUUGUCGACUCCUCGAAUGUCAGACUUCUUCUUGCCCUGCCCGCACAUCCUUUUCCCUCACUGCCCAUUCCCGCAACCCUCCUAGCCGAAUGUUGCCUCGCUUUCUUGCGAGAGUUUCUCCUCAGGAUAGAGAUCGCCUUUGUGCUUCCAUCGACUUGGGCUGACAGGUGGAAAUGGACGAUUAAACGAUCGACAAACCCGCCAAGAAUUGUCUGGAAGCGUUGGUCAGUACUACCGCAAAAAGCAGUCGCAUUCAAAACGAGGUGUUUUUUGUAACUCGCCAUUUAUGUCCGAGAAGUUAAAAGAAUGGGAGCGAGAAAAAGGGAGCGAUGUUUAUUUGAAGAUGCUCGUACGAUAUCCUCGAAUACACUUACAUCAAAGCAGGGAGAGAAAGUAAGUGAGAGAGUGAUGAAAGAAAAAGGAGGGUUGCGGCCGAAAAGAGAGCAAAGAGGUUUAGGUUAAAAGAAGAGGACGAUUAUUUAUAGGACGAUUGUAUGGUGGCGCGUCCGUGCCAUGCAUAGACAGUACCUCAUUCCGAUCGGCAAACGAAUGGCUCAUUUUCCGUCCGCAAAUGUACGGAAAUGCCACUCGAGAACGGCAUUUCUUAAUAUUCGCCGGUAUUAGGAGAUAACCGGGCACGUGCGAACUAGAAUGACGGCGUGGAAGGACGCAGCAGGUCGGCAAGACGAUAAAUUACAAAGGACGAAACGAUGGCUGAAUCACUGUGAACUGUUAAGAGACAUUAAAAUGCCGCGCCGCAAAAAUCGAACAAAGUAGGAGGCACCGUGGUGCAUUUUGCGUCACGGUCACGCAAAUCUACCAUCGAUUGGCACGAGUUACGGCGUCGCGAAACGGUUGGCCGCGGACACGUUCGGAAGUCAAUGAAGGAUCGGUAUAGGAAAGAAACGGAGCUAUUAACUGACCGGCGAACAGAAGAAACGACCUCGCGAUUGCACCGUGACGAGAAUCCGUCGCCGAUGUUGAUCAAUGCUGGAGUUCACGGAUUUAACGGCGAUUGACGGAAGUGUUUGAAUCGUAAAAAUUUUCCAAAUGCUCCGGUGAUGACUCACAAUAAUAUCUCCGGCGAUGUUAUCAUCAGAGAAUGGAUCUACGAAUUGAAUUAAUUUUCUCGGACACGGAGUAGCUCGAUCGCGAUCGUCUGAACGAAAAUUAGGUGUUCUCUAUUAGAGUGGGUGACCCGUUUACAUUCACUGAUCAGAAAUACGAGAUAAUACGACUACUUUUCAAUUCAUACUAUAAAGCUUCUUGUGUCAUCGUUACAUUUCCGUAAAGAAUCGCAUGCAACAAGAAGCCACGGUGGUCGGCGGCCGUCAUUGAUCUCCUGUUAGAAUCGGAUCACUUCGAUGUAACAAGAUAAAUAGUCAGCGGGACACCGUCGGUGGUCGAGGGUGCGGAUCGUGGAGUCAUGCUGACUAUAUAUCUGAUGAUCAAGAGAACUGAGUACGCGCACGCUUGUCUGAUCUGGAUGUAUUUAACGCAUACAUCAAGUUCUUCUGUGAAGAAACGUUUCCUGUCAACUUACACUUCGAUUAUUACUGCAAUUCAAGAUUCAGGAAGGUCAUUGGACCCGCGACGCAAGUCAAGAUCGUUGUCGAUGUUGAUCGCGGAUGCUUGUCGAAGCAGGUAGCACGUUAGCGACAAAAUGAUUCGAGAAAAACGGGUCCAGGCGAUAAAUCAAGAGUAUGGCAUUCCUAAGAUAGUCGCGCUAUAUGCUGAAAGUCAUUACGAUGGCAAAGUAAUUCCCAACUAAUGAAGUUCAAGAUUUUGGAUAAGAACGAAAAUUUUUCGUCCAACGUGCUGGAUAUCGAAUAGUACGAGAACAAACUGUCGAAAAAAGUAUACCGUUUCAUGAAAAUUCUGAACAGAUCCCAGAAUCGGGCUGUCAAAAAAAUGCAAGCGUUUCACUUUCUCAGCGACAAAUGGACAAGUACAUCGAUUUAAAGGAAUACACCGCACUAACAAGAAUAAAGCUUUUAAUGUGCAACGUCUGCAGGAUCAAAUUUCCGAAUGAGAUCGUGUUCAAGACUCAUAGGAUUUGAUAAAGCCAUGGAAGAUUUUUCCAGUGCGGAUUUUAUUUUAAUCAAAUCUCCAAAUCAUCAACUUUAGAGAAUCAUCUGCAUACGCAUUUUAUUCCGAAGCGUCUCGCGUGCAGACAAUGAGAACUCGAAUUUCAGAUGAAAAAUGCGUUGAAGAAACACGAAACUGAAGCACGUUUUAGCAGAAGAAGAACGGUUAAGUGACUUUUGCAAAAAAAAAGGGACGCUAUCAAUCGCUGCGUGUUCAUAAGUUAAUACAUAUAAUUAAUACGAAGCCGAAUAUCUAAUCUGCGGCAAAAGCUUCUCGAAGCCCAGUAGUUUCCGGACUCAUGUACUUGUCCAUAUCACAGACUUGUUGUGGACACACGAUUUUUGCCCAGCGAAGUUCAAGAGAAAGUCAAUGCUGAAAACGCACAAGCUGACGCAUGAAAGUGAGAAGAUUCGAGUGCAACAUAUGUAAGCGACAUUUUCAGCUGAAAGGCCACUCAAAGAACAUAUUGUCACAUAACAGUAAACUUGUGAAUAUUCUCACAACUUCUUUGCGCUUCGCAGAGGAAGGUGUUUGUCUGAUUAAACUAUUCUGUUGCAAGAGA